GACGAACGCUGGCGGCGUGCUUAACACAUGCAAGUCGAACGGAAAGGCCCUGCUUUUGUGGGGUGCUCGAGUGGCGAACGGGUGAGUAACACGUGAGUAACCUGCCCUUGACUUUGGGAUAACUUCAGGAAACUGGGGCUAAUACCGGAUAGGAGCUCCUGCUGCAUGGUGGGGGUUGGAAAGUUUCGGCGGUUGGGGAUGGACUCGCGGCUUAUCAGCUUGUUGGUGGGGUAGUGGCUUACCAAGGCUUUGACGGGUAGCCGGCCUGAGAGGGGGAACGGCCACAUUGGGACUGAGAUACGGCCCAGACUCCUACGGGAGGCAGCAGUGGGGAAUAUUGCGCAAUGGGCGGGAGCCUGAUGCAGCGACGCCGCGUGCGGGAUGACGGCCUUCGGGUUGUAAACCGCUUUCGCCUGUGACGAGGCGUGAGUGACGGUAAUGGGUAAAGAAGCACCGGCUAACUACGUG
rnacentral:rRNA from 1 species